rnacentral:rRNA from 1 species
UACAGAGGUCUCAAGCGUUGUUCGGAUUCAUUGGGCGUAAAGGGCGCGUAGGCGGCGGGGCAAGUCGGGUGUGAAAUCUCAGGGCUCAACCCUGAAACUGCACUCGAUACUGCUCUGCUUGAGGACUGGAGAGGAGACUGGAAUUCACGGUGUAGCAGUGAAAUGCGUAGAUAUCGUGAGGAAGACCAGUGGCGAAGGCGGGUCUCUGGACAGUUCCUGACGCUGAGGCGCGAAGACCAGGGGAGCAAACGGG